UCGUAUUCUUAUUUUCAUAUUAGUCUCUAGUUUCCUUUUCAUUUUGAGUUUUUUUCUUCAUAGUCUUUCUUUAUUCAUGUUCUUUUUUAUCAUUAGUAUUAUUAUUAACUUCUUUCCAUUUAAAAAAAUGAAAAGAUUAGUCUUAAAACAUUGUUUAACAGUGAUAUUGUUUUAUAGGUCAUUCAAAUCAGACACGUCACAUUGACUGAUGUUCUCUGUAGAAAGGGUCGACCUCCUCUGACGAGUAAAAGCGUCUCUCUGGUCCUUUUAACUGGUUGAAAACAGCGUUGAGUGUCUGCUGCGGUGGUCGUGGGUCUUUCUGUCUGGCGUUGGAAAACUUCACCGUCGCUUUUCUGGUCAGGACAGGUCUGGGUGUGUCUCCCAGCCUGGAGGCAGCAGACUGUUGGUUCCAGGCGGAGAUGAUCUGAUGAUUAGUUUGGAGGUAUUCACUCACAGGGCAGCAACCAGCAAUGUGUGAGAUAAAUGCUGGGAAAAAGACACUGCAGGACUAAAAAUCUUCAAAGAGAGAAGGAGCCGAAUGACACCAGUGACAUAAUGAUUCAUUAUGAAGAUGCAAGAUUCCAGUUUGUGGCAAUGGAUCCAUUAUCAGUGAUCUGCAGGCCCGUUGAGUUUCCAGAACCGCCUCUUCAUUCAGGUCUACCAGAUGGAACCGUUUGAGUCUUCGAUGACCAGACUUGCUGUGCAAUCUGCCUACAAGACCCCACUUUCGGGACCUCAAAUUACAAACUGGGUGAGAGUAUGAAUUGUCAAUGUGUAAACCGGAAACAUUUACUCAAGGUAGUCAUAAAGUUGUAAAUAACUUAUGACGAGCAAGUAAACACCCAGUUUGUAUUGUAUUGUUUUACUACUAAACAUACAUUUUCUGUUCCAUUUUAACAGAUCCAGUGUGACAGAUGGAUCCAUGCCUUGUGCCUGGACAUAAAGAGCACAGAAUAUGAAAAUGUGAAAAAAGCCAGCUGGAAAUGCCCACGGUGCAACUAAUAUGCUAACACUGUACUCUGUUCAAUAUCGUUGUAAAGAAAUAUUUUAAAUGUACAGGUCCUUCUCAAAAUAUUAGCAUAUUGUGAUAAAGUUCAUUAUUUUCCAUAAUGUCAUGAUGAAAAUUUAACAUUCAUAUAUUUUAGAUUCAU